rnacentral:rRNA from 1 species
AACGUAGGACGCAAGCGUUAUCCGGAGUUACUGGGCGUAAAGGGCGCGUAGGCGGCCCUCUAAGGCGAACGUGAAAUCCCCGGGCUCAACCCGGGAACUGCGUCCGAUACUGGAGGGCUCGAAUCCGGGAGAGGGAUGUGGAAUUCCAGGUGUAGCGGUGAAAUGCGUAGAUAUCUGGAGGAACACCGGUGGCGAAGGCGGCAUCCUGGACCGGUAUUGACGCUGAGGCGCGAAAGCCAGGGGAGCAAACGGG